UUUUUUCAUAUUUUAUAUUUUGUAUUUCAAAGACCUUGUCUGGCUAUCUGGGUUUUGUCUAUAUCAUUCAAUUUGUGCUUAGUUUUUUCUUGUGGGUGUUGUGCCUCGACUGUUUCGAUUUAUUUCACUUAAGUUUGGUCUAUCUGGGUUUUUGUCUAUGGUGCAAUGCUAUGGAUACCAAAAUGUUCACCAAAUUUGUGCUUUAUUUAGCUAUUGCUUCUUAAUUUUCAUGUGGGUGUUACGCAGCGUUUUUAGUUUAGUUUAGUUUGGUCUAUCAGGGAGUUGUCUAUAUCAUUAGAUUUGUGCUUUAUUUAACUACUGCUUCUUAAUUUUCUUGUGGGUUUUGUGCCGCCCAUAUGCUAAGCUGCACUAUUAUUCCUUGUUUUUUUACUACAAUUGAAGUUGCUGGAAUUUUAUUUACGAUCUUGCUCCAUAAGGUUAUGAAUUUUGAUGUUGUGACUUCUUUCAAGAGCAUUAUAAUGCAGACCAAAAGUGGACAUGAUUCUAUUUGUAUGUCUUUGGAAUCUAUUAGUAUUUGGGAAUCAAGAUCUGUCAAAUUUUAAUGGUGUAUGAUUGCUGCUAAACUCUGCUUCUGUGAAUCUGUGAUAUCAUAUUUCCUUUUUGUUUUUUCUUUUUAAAAUCAAUAUCAGGCCAAGCUUGCAGCUCUGAAAGGAAAGUUUGGACGGGAAAUACGUGUGUUUGAAACAUCAUCACCAUCUUAUUCACGAAAUGAAGCGUCCAAUGCAGACUACAAUCAGGGUCCGCUUUCCUGAUAAUCACACCAUUGGAGGCCACCAUCAGAAGCCAUUCAGAGCUUGGUUGAUCUUCUCCAGAAAGUGAUAAGUUGACCAGAAUUAUCAUUCUUCUAUAUAUAUACUACCCCUCCUAAAAAGCAGAUAAAAGACAUGUAAGAGGAUUUUUACUCUGCUGGUUUUGCUCCUCGUGCCAUCUUGCCUUUUGCAUAUGACAUACCAAAAGGAAGAAAAACACAAAAGUCUCCAGAAGAGGAAACCGUUACAAGCCUAAGCUGGAGCUAAUCCAGUCAGAAGCCAGAACAUCUAGAAUAUCCCUUGGGAGGGACUGAAAACAAAAAUUCACAAGCUCAAAACAAACAUCUUCCUUCAACACUUUCCUGGCAACGCAGUCAGCCAGACCAUUGGUCUCCCUAGAGUUCCAUCUAAUUUUCCAGCAAUAUGAAGAAAACAGGGAUUGAAGAAAAAUAAAAUCACAUCUAGAAUCCCAACCAGUAGGGUCUUCAUGGCUUGUGAUAUUUUCAAUCACCAGGGCAGAGUUAGACGACCAUUCAAGAUUGUUCCAAUUCCGGUCAGCUGCUUCCUUGGCCUCCCAGACAAGAGCUUUUAAUUCUGCUUCCAGCGGGGAAUCACAAUUUAUACAUUUCGAAGCAAGAUAAAGUAACUCCCCCUUCCAAUUUCUGACAGUGAAGGCUAAACCCGCCUGUCCAUUAGAAAAGGCCGCAUCCGUAUUGAUCUUCCACCACCCUUAAGCAGGAGGCCUCCAAAACUCCUCAGGCCUAGUAGCAGCAUCAAAAGAGGCUUCAGAGAAGGUCAUGAAAUCUUCCACCAUGCGGUUAAAAUGGCUAACUACUUCAUGGGGAGACCCAGGGCCCGAAAAUAAGCUUUCAUUCCUGCAUUUCCAAGCAAAGUAUACCAAAGAAGCUAAGAAGAUAGUUAUUUCUUUGCUGAUCAUAUUCUGGAAGCACAUAUCAGGCUUCGGGUUGAUGCAAAAAACCAAUAAAUCCUCAAUGCUCGACACAGUCCAAAUGUCAAGUUUGCAUCCCCAUUUGCUAGCGAAAGCUAAUAUUCUCGUGCUUGGACACUCCUUGAACACUGUCAUUUUACUUAUACAUUCAUUAGUCCUCAAUAUUUAUGGCCUUUUGUCUGUCUUGAUUCUUACCUUGGCAUAAAUGCAUUAUUAGUAGUUGGUAACAUAAAUUAUAAACUAAUGUAACUUCUAAAUACUUACAAUAAAAGGAAAAAGAAAACCCUUUGUUUA